CCUACGGGAGGCAGCAGUGAGGAAUAUUGGUCAAUGGGCGGAAGCCUGAACCAGCCAAGUAGCGUGCAGGAUGACGGCCCUACGGGUUGUAAACUGCUUUUAUACGGGAAUAACGCGCCUUACGUGUAGGUCUUUGCAUGUACCGUAUGAAUAAGGACCGGCUAAUUCCGUGCCAGCAGCCGCGGUAAUACGGAAGGUCCGGGCGUUAUCCGGAUUUAUUGGGUUUAAAGGGAGCGUAGGCCGUAUGUCAAGCUUGCUGUUAAAUGUCCGGGCUCAACCCGGGCAUUGCAGCGGGAACUGGAGUGCUUGAGUGCGCGGGAAGCAGGCGGAAUUCGUGGUGUAGCGGUGAAAUGCUUAGAUAUGACGAAGAACCCCGAUUGCGAAGGCAGCUUGCUACAGCGGAACUGACGCUGAUGCUCGAAAGCGCGGGUAUCGAACAGGAUUAGAUACCCGAGUAGUC
rnacentral:rRNA from 1 species